GGGUUGUGAGGUUAAGCGACUAAGCGUACACGGUGGAUGCCCUGGCAGUCAGAGGCGAUGAAGGACGUGCUAAUCUGCGAAAAGCGUCGGUAAGGUGAUAUGAACCGUUAUAACCGGCGAUGUCCGAAUGGGGAAACCCAGUGCAAUUCGUUGCACUAUCGUUAACUGAAUACAUAGGUUAACGAGGCGAACCGGGGGAACUGAAACAUCUAAGUACCCCGAGGAAAAGAAAUCAACCGAGAUUCCCCCAGUAGCGGCGAGCGAACGGGGAGCAGCCCAGAGUCUGAAUCAGCUUGUGUGUUAGUGGAACGGUCUGGAAAGUCCGACGGUACAGGGUGAUAGUCCCGUACACCAAAAUGCACAGGCUGUGAACUCGAAGAGUAGGGCGGGACACGUGGUAUCCUGUCUGAAUAUGGGGGGACCAUCCUCCAAGGCUAAAUACUCCUGACUGACCGAUAGUGAACCAGUACCGUGAGGGAAAGGCGAAAAGAACCCCGGCGAGGGGAGUGAAAAAGAACCUGAAACCGUGUACGUACAAGCAGUGGGAGCACCUUCGGGUGUGACUGCGUACCUUUUGUAUAAUGGGUCAGCGACUUAUAUUCUGUAGCAAGGUUAACCGUAUAGGGGAGCCGCAGGGAAACCGAGUCUUAACUGGGCGUUAAGUUGCAGGGUAUAGACCCGAAACCCGGUGAUCUAGCCAUGGGCAGGUUGAAGGUUGGGUAACACUAACUGGAGGACCGAACCGACUAAUGUUGAAAAAUUAGCGGAUGACUUGUGGCUGGGGGUGAAAGGCCAAUCAAACCGGGAGAUAGCUGGUUCUCCCCGAAAGCUAUUUAGGUAGCGCCUCGUGAACUCAUCUUCGGGGUAGAGCACUGUUUCGGCUAGGGGGUCAUCCCGACUUACCAACCCGAUGCAAACUACGAAUACCGAAGAAUGUUAUCACGGGAGACACACGGCGGGUGCUAACGUCCGUCGUGAAGAGGGAAACAACCCAGACCGCCAGCUAAGGUCCCAAAGUCAUGGUUAAGUGGGAAACGAUGUGGGAAGGCACAGACAGCCAGGAUGUUGGCUUAGAAGCAGCCAUCAUUUAAAGAAAGCGUAAUAGCUCACUGGUCGAGUCGGCCUGCGCGGAAGAUGUAACGGGGCUAAACCAUGCACCGAAGCUGCGGCAGCGACACUAUGUGUUGUUGGGUAGGGGAGCGUUCUGUAAGCCUGCGAAGGUGUGCUGUGAGGCAUGCUGGAGGUAUCAGAAGUGCGAAUGCUGACAUAAGUAACGAUAAAGCGGGUGAAAAGCCCGCUCGCCGGAAGACCAAGGGUUCCUGUCCAACGUUAAUCGGGGCAGGGUGAGUCGACCCCUAAGGCGAGGCCGAAAGGCGUAGUCGAUGGGAAACAGGUUAAUAUUCCUGUACUUGGUGUUACUGCGAAGGGGGACGGAGAAGGCUAUGUUAGCCGGGCGACGGUUGUCCCGGUUUAAGCAUGUAGGCUGAUUGUCCAGGCAAAUCCGGAUAAUCAAGGCUGAGGUGUGAUGACGAGGCACUACGGUGCUGAAGUAACAAAUGCCCUGCUUCCAGGAAAAGCCUCUAAGCAUCAGGUAACAUUAAAUCGUACCCCAAACCGACACAGGUGGUCAGGUAGAGAAUACCAAGGCGCUUGAGAGAACUCGGGUGAAGGAACUAGGCAAAAUGGUGCCGUAACUUCGGGAGAAGGCACGCUGGUGUGUAGGUGAAGUCCCUGCGGAUGGAGCUGAGACCAGUCGAAGAUACCAGCUGGCUGCAACUGUUUAUUAAAAACACAGCACUGUGCAAACACGAAAGUGGACGUAUACGGUGUGACGCCUGCCCGGUGCCGGAAGGUUAAUUGAUGGGGUUAUCCGUAAGGAGAAGCUCUUGAUCGAAGCCCCGGUAAACGGCGGCCGUAACUAUAACGGUCCUAAGGUAGCGAAAUUCCUUGUCGGGUAAGUUCCGACCUGCACGAAUGGCGUAAUGAUGGCCAGGCUGUCUCCACCCGAGACUCAGUGAAAUUGAACUCGCUGUGAAGAUGCAGUGUACCCGCGGCAAGACGGAAAGACCCCGUGAACCUUUACUAUAGCUUGACACUGAACAUUGAGCCUUGAUGUGUAGGAUAGGUGGGAGGCUUUGAAGCGUGGACGCCAGUCUGCGUGGAGCCAACCUUGAAAUACCACCCUUUAAUGUUUGAUGUUCUAACGUUGGCCCCUGACCGGGGUUGCGGACAGUGUCUGGUGGGUAGUUUGACUGGGGCGGUCUCCUCCCAAAGCGUAACGGAGGAGCACGAAGGUUAGCUAAUCCUGGUCGGACAUCAGGAGGUUAGUGCAAUGGCAUAAGCUAGCUUGACUGCGAGCGUGACGGCGCGAGCAGGUGCGAAAGCAGGUCAUAGUGAUCCGGUGGUUCUGAAUGGAAGGGCCAUCGCUCAACGGAUAAAAGGUACUCCGGGGAUAACAGGCUGAUACCGCCCAAGAGUUCAUAUCGACGGCGGUGUUUGGCACCUCGAUGUCGGCUCAUCACAUCCUGGGGCUGAAGUAGGUCCCAAGGGUAUGGCUGUUCGCCAUUUAAAGUGGUACGCGAGCUGGGUUUAGAACGUCGUGAGACAGUUCGGUCCCUAUCUGCCGUGGGCGCUGGAGAAUUGAGGGGGGCUGCUCCUAGUACGAGAGGACCGGAGUGGACGCAUCACUGGUGUUCGGGUUGUCAUGCCAAUGGCACUGCCCGGUAGCUAAAUGCGGAAGAGAUAAGUGCUGAAAGCAUCUAAGCACGAAACUUGCCCCGAGAUGAGUUCUCCCUGAGACUUUAAGUCUCCUGAAGGAACGUUAAAGACGAUGACGUUGAUAGGCCGGGUGUGUAAGCGCAGCGAUGCGUUGAGCUAACCGGUACUAAUGAACCGUGAGGCUUAACCUUACAACGCCGAAG
rnacentral:rRNA from 1 species